rnacentral:rRNA from 1 species
ACUUGUUCAAGCAUUGUUUUCGAAUUUUUUCAUGCAUCAAAGCUCGUUAAGACUAGAUGGGGUAUCCCUACAUAGCGGGUGGGACCCACGGCGAAUGGUUCAUCAAGUCUUCAAAAAAGAAUAUAUACGAUUGCAUUGCAUAUACUAACGGAUGCGAUCAUACCAGCACUAAUGCACCGGAUCCCAUCAGAACUCCGCAGUUAAGCGUGCUUGGGCGAGAGUAGUACUAGGAUGGGUGACCUCCCGUGAAGUCCUCGUGUUGCAUCCCUCUUUUAUGUUUAACCUUUUUUUUUUUGGUUAAAACUUUAUGACUCCAUAACUUUUAGACCGUGAGGCCAAACUUGGCAUGUGAUACCUUUUCG